rnacentral:rRNA from 1 species
CCUACGGGAGGCAGCAGUAGGGCAUUUUUCACAAUGGGCGAAAGCCUGAUGGAGCAACGCCGCGUGCAGGAUGAAGGCCUUCGGGUUGUAAACUGCUUUUAUAAGCGAGAAAUAUGAUGGUAACUUAUGAAUAAGGAUCGGCUAACUACGUGCCAGCAGCCGCGGUCAUACGUAGGAUCCGAGCAUUAUCCGGAGUGACUGGGUGUAAAGAGUUGCGUAGGUGGCAUAAUAAGUAGCUAGUGAAAUCUGGUGGCUCAACCAUUCAGACUAUUAGCUAAACUGUUAAGCUCGAGACCGUUAGGGGUAACUGGAAUUUCUAGUGUAGGAGUGAAAUCCGUAGAUAUUAGAAGGAACACCAAUAGCGUAGGCAGGUUGCUGGGACGGUUCUGACACUAAGGCACGAAAGCGUAGGGAGCAAACGGGAUUAGAUACCCCAGUAGUC